AUAAUCCAGUAGCAUAAAUUCUAACAUUCGACACUGCUAAUUCCUAAUAAACGGUGCGACACUGCAUGUCUGUAGUUUUUCAGUAUUAUUUCCAACGAGUCUGACCGGCUACAAUUACGUUGAUUAAUUACGUUGACAGACGCAGUCGAACAAUUUUGUCGUUCAUUUGAAUUUUUAAACUGAAUGCGCUCCGCGGUUAAAUAUCGAUCUGAGCUAGGCUAAUCGAACGCUCCGGUCGUUCGAUUAGUAUGGCUGCCAUCGAUCUAUUGCGACAGUCCUCGUUGCUGUAAUUACCGGGUAUAAUGUUUAGCCGUGCGAAGUCGAGCAAGGGAAAAGUUUUACAAAGUGUUACGGAUUGCACGGGACCUGAGACGAUGCCAAUAAAACGAUGCGAGAUAACGAAAGUAACGCGUCACGUACUUCUCCCGUUUAAAGGCAAAGUAGGUAUUUUACAUACGUACGUAGUUCUACGGUAAGUCUCGCGAUUAGUUCGAGUGCCAAUGGAAGUCUCAUUAUGCUGUCGUAAAUUUUAACAACGUUAUGAUCCGCGUUUUUACGAAGUGAUUUAUUAAACGUCGAUAGCUUUCAUAAGUUUCCUGAAAGAGGUUGCAUGGGAUCGUACGGUAGGUUAGAAAAUUUUUAUUACAUUACAGACGACAAACACUUAAACCAUUUGUGAUAAGAGCCGUGUAAACACAGUUGGUAACGGUUGCCCGUAAUAAAGUUCUAAACAGUAAGCUACUGUCGAAAUAACAACAACAGAGUGCUGCACGGCGCGGUAUGGUAUGCGUGCGCGUGACCAAUUCGAUCGAAUAGAGACUUCUAUCGCGUUUAAUCCAGUUCCUUAUUGUCCGGCCGUUUAAGUUGCGCGAUCAGAUAACGGGUAACCUUCGCGAACCAGUUACGACACGUGUCUCCGUGCCGUUUUCGCGGGUUUAACAUUUCUAACCGCGUACAGAUUGCCGACAAAUAAUUUAGAAUCAGGCGACCGCGUUCCCCGCUGGACUCGCGCGCGGCUGCGUGCGUUGGUCGGCGUGCCGUUCAAUGAAAAAUCGGCGUCGUUGAGCCGUCAACGAUAACGCGUGUUUCGCGUGAGCGUGACAUCGGCUGCCGCGACAGAAGCACGCUCCAGUGGCCAUACUCUGGCGAGCACUCGUGUUCCCGAAGGAUUUUUCGUGAUCCGGGUGAAUGGGCGAAGGAUUGCGCGCACGCCGUGCAAAAUACGAGUUUAGUGGCCGUGGUUAACGCGGAGGAAGACGGAGAAAGCGCUCGUAGCGUACGACGAUAGGUUCCAACGCGGAUGUAAACACGGUUUGGACGAAGAAAGUAAAGGGCAAUAAACAACGGAGUCUUGGUAUUCACGAAAGACUGGUUGCGAGCAAACAUUGGAGAUCAGAGGUAGGAGCAACAACGGAGUUGGCGUACCGGGGACAAUUAUGACUUCCACGUACUGAAAAUCCAUCGUACACAAAAUUGACGCACCGCUGGCGUCUCAGGGUUAUUCAAGGCGAAGAACAACGCGGUCGGUAAUAAUCUCGUCGGGCCGCCAUUCUCGUUAUUUCGCGCAACGGGUGGUAACGAUGGGGAGGGAAGAGAAAGGGAGGAUGACCAAAUGCGGGAAGACAGAAACGUGAACGUGUAUUAUGGUACAUCGCAUUCCGUGAAUCGUCGAAAUCGAAGGGGGCGUGGACGAACGUGGAUCGUUAAUCACCGAAACACCCUUUCAGGGAUACAAUCCUCGAAAUCCUACAAGAGUCUCGGUAUUUAUACUUAUCUGAAUUUAUCGAGCGUUAAUAUAAUACAAGCCGUUCUUUUUUUUUUUUAUUAAAUGCUCAUGAGUAAUCCGAUCCUGUGUGAAUAGGAUUAAACGCAAUGGAAUAUUUAUGUGUUUUUUAAAUACUUCUAUUGAAUGCAUUUGUUCGUUACAACGAUUUCAUUCAAUUACUGAGAAAUCAACUCGGAUCAAUUAAUUAAUGAAGUCUCAAGAAUUGAACGAUCUCUCAUUUUUCAUCACUAACUGUG